rnacentral:rRNA from 1 species
UAAGACAGAGGGUGCAAACGUUGUUCGGAAUUACUGGGCGUAAAGCGUGUGUAGGCGGCUUCGCAAGUCGGAUGUGAAAGCCCCGGGCUCAACCCGGGAAGUGCACUCGAUACUGCGGAGCUAGAGUGUCGGAGAGGUUGGUGGAAUUCUCGGUGUAGAGGUGAAAUUCGUAGAUAUCGAGAGGAACACCGGUGGCGAAGGCGGCCAACUGGACGAACACUGACGCUGAGACACGAAAGCGUGGGGAGCAAACAGGAUUAGAUACCCUGGUAGUCCACGCCGUAAACGAUGGGUGCUAGGUGUCACGGGCUUUGACUCUCGUGGUGCCGUAGCUAACGCAUUAAGCACCCCGCCUGGGAAGUACGGCCGCAAGGCUA